GACGGAGGGUGCUAGCGUUGUUCGGAAUUACUGGGCGUAAAGGCGCGUAGGCGGCCGGAUCAGUCGGGUGUGAAAGCCCGGGGCUCAACCCCGGAAUUGCACCCGAGACGGUUUGGCUGGAGACCGGGAGAGGAGGGUGGAAUAGCCAGUGUAGAGGUGAAAUUCGUAGAUAUUGGCUGGAACACCGGGUGGCGAAAGCGGCUCUCUGGCCCGGUUCUGACGCUG
rnacentral:rRNA from 1 species